AUGUUUACCAACAGAUUUGUUUAUCGAUUAAUAACACUUUCAAAAUUUUUUCAGUAAUCAAUCUCAUAGUGUGAGUAGGUACUACAGAUGCAUACAGGACGCAGAGAUCUAAGGACCACCAUCCAUUGGUAGCUACAGCUAAACAACCAUGUACCAGAACGCAUCCGUACAUUGAAUCUAAACAUUCCAUGUAUCCCUCUAAAUAAGUCUUGAAGAAGUUUUAUUAUGCAUGUAGAAAUUAUCCAGUGUGAUACGUAAUGUAUAUUAUUAAAUACAUCAUUAGUUAUAUACCUGUAA
rnacentral:lncRNA from 1 species